UAAGGAAUACUGCUCAAUGGGAGAAAUCCUGAAGCAGCAACGCCGCGUGGAGGAUGAAGGGUCUAUGACUUGUAAACUCCUGUAAAGAAGGAAAAAAUUCCCAUUUGAUGGGAGAUGAUGGUACUUCUGGAGUAAGCCCCGGCUAACUACGUGCCAGCAGCCGCGGUAAUACGUAGGGGGCAAGCGUUGUCCGGAUUUACUGGGUGUAAAGGGUGCUCAGGCGGAUUUGUAAGUCAGAGGUGAAAUCUUACAGCUUAACUGUGAAACUGCCUUUGAUACUGCAAGCCUAGAGUAUGGAAGAGAGCGAUGGAAUAUCUGGUGUAGCAGUGAAAUGCGUAGAUAUCAGAUAGAACACCAAUGGCGAAGGCAGUCACUUGGUCCAUUACUGACGCUAAAGCACGAAAGCGUGGGUAGCAAACA
rnacentral:rRNA from 1 species